AUGAUACGCGAGGAACCUUACCUGGGCUCAAAUGUAUGUUGACGUAUUCUGAAAGGGAUACUUCUUCGGACAAUAUACAAGGUGCUGCAUGGUUGUCGUCAGCUCGUGCCGUGAGGUGUCGGGUUAAGUCCCAUAACGAGCGCAACCCCUAUCAUUAGUUGCCAUCAGGUCAAGCUGGGGACUCUAAUGAAACUGCCUACGCAAGUAGUGAGGAAGGUGGGGAUGACGUCAAAUCAGCACGGCCCUUACGUCCAGGGCUACACACGUGCUACAAUGGCCGGUACAAAGGGCAGCUACCUGGUGACAGGAUGCUAAUCUCAAAAGCCGGUCUCAGUUCGGAUCGGGGUCUGCAACCCGACUCCGUGAAGCUGGAAUCGCUAGCAAUCGCGCAUCAGCCAUGGCGCGGUGAAUACGUUCCCGGGCCUU
rnacentral:rRNA from 1 species